UUUUGGAAGUUUCAGGAUAGGUGUUAACUCUUCUCUAAAUGUUUGGUAGAGUUUGCCUGUAAAGCUAUCUGGUCCUGGACUUUUGAUUGUUGGGAGUUUAAAAAUUACUGAUGCGGAUAUACUGACAUGGCUCAGUGGAAACGAAUACGACCAGUAACUCUAAGUACACAAGUUCCACCCCUGGCUCAGUGGGUUAAGGAUCCUGAGUUGCCAUGAGCUGUGGUGUAGGGAUAAAAUCAGCAUUCUUACGGAUACUAGUAGGAUUUGUUUCUGCUGUGCCACGAGAACUCCCUGCUGUUGAAUUCUGAAUGCACUAUGCCACAGCGGGAACGCCACAUAUUUUUUUUUUUGAAUACAUGGAACAUUCAAACAAUAAUUUUUGAAGAAUAAAAUUAUUUUUUGUCACAACAAAUUAUAAAAAGGGGCAGCACAAGAGAAUUCUGGGAGGUGGUAGAACUGUUCCAUAUCUCGAUUAUGGUUAUUACAUGAUUUGGCAUUUGUGAAAACUCAGAAUUAUACAUCAAAAAGAGUGAAUCUUACUAUGUAAAUUUAAAAAUUAAAAUGUUUUAAGAGGGGGAGAAAUAUCAUUUUAUAGCCCAUUAAUAACCUUUAGGGCAACCAAAAUGCAACGCUGGUCUUAUAAAGAAUAAUAUUCUAGUGGUAGAAAUUUAGUUGCUCAAUCAAAGUUAGUGGAGAGAUAUUUUCAGAGAUUUUAGAAUUUUUAAACCGGGAAAUCAUCUAUCCACUGUAGUAUUAUACUGUAGCUUUUUUUGGCUUACAGAUCCAUUUUUCCCCUCUCCCACAUAAGACUGUUAGAUUCCAAAGGGCAUCUCCCUGUGUCCCUGUUUAGUUAUCUUGGUAUCCCCAGACUCUACCUAGUAUAUCUGACACCUAGUGGAUACUCAACGAAUAUUUGCUGAAGAAGUAGAAGUCCUGUUUUAAGCACAGAAGGAAAAGUGAAAGUAAAUAUGAUACAGUCCCUGCUCUCAAAAAACCUUAAACCUUAGUGGCCAUGUACCCUCAAUAUAGUUAGUAGUACACAAGCACAAGUGGGAAAUGAAAGAGGAAGGAGGUAGGGGAAGAUUUGGCGUAGGCUGACUACUUUUUCU
rnacentral:lncRNA from 1 species